UUUGGCCUGGAAUAACACGAGGAAACUUGUGCUAAUACCGGAUAAGUCUUUACGGAGAAAGCUUUAUGCACCAUUGGAUGAGCCCGCACUUGAUUAGUUUGUUGGUAGGGUAAUGGCCUACCAAGACUAUGAUCAAUAGCUGAUUUGAGAGGAUGAUCAGCCACAUUGGGACUGAGACACGGCCCAAACUCCUACGGGAGGCAGCAGUGGGGAAUCUUGCACAAUGGAGGAAACUCUGAUGCAGCGAUGCCGCGUGAGUGAAGAAGGCCUUUGGGUUGUAAAGCUCUUUCGUCGGGGAAGAAAAUGACUGUACCCGAAUAAGAAGGU
rnacentral:rRNA from 1 species